ensembl:lncRNA
CAGCCAUGUGCUCGCGUAUCAUUUUACUCUGAAAUAACUCUGCGGAUUUCAGCUCAACCUGCCUUUGCUUAUAAUGCAUGACAUAGCCUGUGAGGGAGCCUGAGAACCGUCCCUCUUCAAAAGCAAGGUUCCCAUGCUUGGCCUGUAACCAUGGAAGCAGAUGCCUUUUUUGCUUACCCCUGCUUACCUCUUUGCAGCCACGAGCUGCUCCCUAUUGUUAAAAGGGGUACGCCUUGAUUUUUCUUCAUCGUGACCGAACUUGCCUCUUCUUCAAAGGGCAUGAUGCUGCAGGUCAUUGGUCUAGACUGUUUGCACGGUCCAGAGAACAGCCUUGAUGUAACCCUUGCUCCGUCUGUGCCACACCACCAGCCGCGCGACUGCAGACUGUAGGGGGACAUCGGAGAUCUGUAUUUGAAAAGAAGUCCGUCCGAUUUUGCCAUUGUGCCUUUUCAGUCAUCGAUCGAAUGAAUAUCGAACCUUCUGUCGUUGCAUGUGUGAAAUAGAUAGCUUAGCAAGCACUUUUGUGCCCAGACCUGUGCAGUGGGCCAAACUCUUCUCCUUUAUUCACAAAUAUUUUUUUUUGCAAUAUAGUAAUUUCUUAGGUACUUUAAAUACCAGCAUCCUAACGUUGGACCAGCCUCAGAAAAGAGCUUUGUUUUUUAUUCUUUUUUGCUGUAAUCUGCUUGAUGGAGCCGCUACUGAUUUGGGGUUUUAUUUUUCUUUUAAGUUCUUUCUCUUUUACCCAUUCCCAGUUGAACAUCAGCCCCCCUAGAAGUGCAAAGGAGGUUGGUUUUGCCCCAGAAUUGUGAGAGUUUUCAAAGCAAAAUACUGAUUGGAGGUUUGAGGCUUUAAAAAUAACAGAGGGAAAGAAAAAAGAAGAAGGGGGGGGGGGAACUUGGAAAGCUUCCAACAUAUAUCCAAUAUGUAAGAAAUCCAGAAGAUACGUUAAAUUUUAAAAAGAUUACAAGUAAAAUAGGUAGCUGUAAGAAAAGACAGGCAUUAUAAUACAUAAAUGACCUGGAAGCAGUGGCUUAAAACCUAAAAGAAUCACAUCUUAUUUCUUCCCUAGAUAUACUAAUAUACUGGAUGUACUCCAUAUAUUACUAUACUAAGACAAGUAAUUUGGAAAAUUAAGAUCUGAUAGUAUGAGAACUCUAAAACACUUCUCACUCUUCUGUACUAUUGUACAAAUAUUUUAAGUAGUGACAUGCCAGCUUACUUUCUUUUUUUUAUUUUUAAGGGCUAAUUUAAUUUAAAAAAAAAUUGUAUCGAUAGACGUCCAAAACCCAACAAGAAAUUCUGAAAAUCUUGCUAAGUCAGUGAGAAAAUGCAGCUGAAGUGCUCAACCAAAGAGUUCAACAGGACUCCAGGAACUGCAGGGUUGGGGGAGAUGCUCUAAUACCUUAGAACAGAAGAGCCAGAAAUGUAUGGAAAAUGAUACAUUCUUGAAAUCAAUCGGUAAGCAAGUUUUUCCUCUUCUUUUAAUAGAACGGCAAACUCUCUGACCGCUGCCUGUCAAAAAACAAUAACCCAGUGACAGCCAUCAGCACCUACUCAUUGAAAAAUAUGCCCGUCUCUACUCUGUUCUAAUAAAAUGCGGAUUGCAUCAAAAAGGGAAUAUUCUUCAGGGUGUUGCUUACCCAGUGUUGUCUGUAUAUGACAUCAGUAUAUAUAUUUUUGAGAUACUACUAUCUCGUACUUCAAGGCAUACCUAUUUUCUCUAAUUGCCAGAGGCUAAGGGGAGGUGCACUAAAGAAUAAAGAAGGUUAUUGUGACAGAUGAAACAUAAUUCACAAUGAGUACUCUUUUCAUCCAGCCUUAAGUAGCAGAGGAUUACUCCGAGCUGAAUUUUAGGGGAGUAUGUAUGAUCUGAUUUAAUAAUAUGAGGACAGGCCACAAGCUGGAAGGCAAUAUAAACCAAUUAUGCUUUUGCUGAAUGUUUGGGGGGUUUUGUUGUUGUUUUUGGUGGUUUUUUUCCCUCUUCUUUUCUGGAAGGUGAAGAAAUGUUAACGUGAAGAGUGUCUGAAGAAACACGAGGAAAAGUAAGAAGUGCCGAGAAAUAAAAGUUGGGAUUUUCUGGAAUGGAUAUUGAUAAAUGAUUAUUCUAUAUUUCUGCUUCAUGACACUUAAAUGAAAUAAGACCAUGCAAUUUCUUCAGUAAACAUGCGCUGUGAAAGUAGGUAAACUAAUUUUGAUACACUUACUGAACUUGUAUUGCUUCCGAGAAAUUCAUACAUGAGUCUUCUAAAAAUGCUGUACAAUAUCAAGUUUAGAUGUAGAUAAGUGUGACAGUAAAAUAACUUUCUGCUAAAUGUGUACACUGCUUUUCUGAUUCAUUGCUUUAAUAUUUAAACAGUAAAGAGAGAAGAAAGAAGAAAGAGCUCUUCCCUUUCCCUUCAGGCAGCUUUGAUUUUAAGCAAAUCUUCAUGCGCAGACAUGAGUCUCCUGCCCUUGGAAGAAGAAAGUGGGAAGCAGCAAAAAGAGACUGUGUGUAGGCAGAGGAGAAGCAGACAAAAUGAGUCAGGCUGCCAGACUGCCAAGACCUUCUUGGAACAAAUGAUGAGGAAACCUGCACUAAGAACAGUAGAAGAAAGCUAUUAGAAGGUUAAAACACACCCAGAACCUAAGUAUUACGAAUUUAUGGCAAUUGGUGCAACUCUGAAGUGAGAAAGGUGCUGCUGACAGGCUAUUAUAGAGGGCAAACUGGGGCAGAAGACAAAGAAAGGUCUCUUGAAACAUGGUAUUAAAAAGGAGCAGGCACUGAAGUUGGUGUAGGUGCAGAUUUUAAAACAUCCAAAUUUACAGUGGGUUGCCAGUGGCCUAUGUUACCAUUUGGUGAUCUCCAACAAAGACCAAGAACAAAGACAAGAGGGUACAAAUACAACCAGUGCAAGCCAAACCCAGAAGAAAACGGGGGGUGGCCACCUCUCACAGAGGUGGAAUCAUAUUGACCAGCAUCCUGCCUCUUCAAGUAGAAGCACUUUGCACACUUACCUCUAUAUAUACAUAUAAGAUAAUAUAUACAUAAAAGAUUAAGGGUAUGUCUGUCAUUUAACUAGCUAUACAACCUGCUGAAACAAAGAUAUUCAAGCUGCAAAACCCAAGGAUGUAAGUCCAAAUUGUGGUUAUGGUCAGAAAGCAACCUAGUCCACAAAUUACUUCAUGAAAAAGAGCUGCUAAAACUGAACUAAGUUUUUUGCUGUUGUCAGAGGAUAGCCCACUGCUGAGACAGCCUUCAGAAUGCUGCUGCACUUCUGCUAUAAUGGAUUUUAAGUUUAUGAUGCACUCUCAAAAUCAUUUCAGUAGAACCGAAGACUAUCAAAUGAUUUCAUAAUCAAUUAACACUACAGCUUAAUUCCCAGUCUGCUACA